CACGUAGGCACCAAGCGUUGUCCGGAUUUAUUGGGCGUAAAGAGCUCGUAGGCGGUUCGGUAAGUCGGGUGUGAAAACUUUGGGCUCAACCCAAAGCCUGCACUCGAUACUGCUGUGACUUGAGUCCGGUAGGGGAGUGGGGAAUUCCUGGUGUAGCGGUGGAAUGCGCAGAUAUCAGGAGGAACACCGGUGGCGAAGGCGCCACUCUGGGCCGGUACUGACGCUGAGGCGCGAAAGCGUGGGGAGCAAACAGG
rnacentral:rRNA from 1 species